UUAGGGUCGUAGCCUGUUGACCAGCAGCAUAAAAUGGCAGGUGACGUGGACCAUAAGCUAGAAAACGAACUGAUGCGCUUUUAAUUUUUUCAAUAGCAAGGAAACGAUAUAGGGAGCUUCAUGUCUCACAAGGUUCUCUUGCCUGCAAUCGUAAUAGAUGGUAAUGUCGGUAUUAUAGAGAUUUAAAGACACAAAAAUUGAAGCGAAGGCAGCUUCGAUAGCAAUGGCAUCUUAGAAAUGCUAAAAGCCAAGAAAGAUAAAGGUAAUGGAGAUAAGAGGGAAGAGACUGAAUACCUCUGCAGAACCUUCAUGACUGGUCCGGAAAAGAUAAGAGAGAGGACGGAAGAGACCCCCUUAGGAGCAAGUAAUAGCCAUUUACUCUGCCUGAUUUGACCAAACGACAAAGACAAGGACAAUUAUGCUACCAUUGGUGGAAGAUUCCAUGAUGCAAGCAAGACAAAUACCUUAUUGAUAAACCCCAGGAGCAUUAUGAAACCUGAGACUCGUGUCUUUCCCCCGCAAGUUGUAAGGGGCCACAUUUUCAAAGGGAAGAGGCAUGAAGGCAGUCUAUUCCUGCAGUGAAAAAAGACCGUAAGAGACAAGAGGGGACUAAUCAAAGGGAAAAGAAGACACUGAUAUGGGUCCUAUCCUAGGGACACUAGCUUCUAAAGAAAUUUCCUGUUAGAUGCACUUAGCACCUCUUAAUAUGGCCAAUCUUGAACCGGAAAACAUCGCAAGUCUCAUGUUUCCAAUUGCCAAAUUGGUUUAACAUGGUAAAAAGUUAUCUAUAAAUUAGUGGAUCGGCAAACUUACCAACACUAAUGGAUAGUCUCUCUGGGCUAGCGCUCCCUACAAA